rnacentral:rRNA from 1 species
UACGUAGGGUCCGAGCGUUGUCCGGAGUUACUGGGCGUAAAGCGCGCGCAGGCGGCGGUGUUGGCCCGGCGUGAAAGCCCCCGGCUCAACCGGGGAGGGUCGUCGGGGACCGCACCGCUUGAGGGCGGUAGGGGCUGGCGGAAUGCCUGGUGUAGUGGUGAAAUGCGUAGAGAUCAGGCGGAACACCCGUGGCGAAGGCGGCCAGCUGGGCCGUCCCUGACGCUGAGGCGCGAAGGCGUGGGGAGCGAACGGG